rnacentral:lncRNA from 1 species
AGUGCUAGUGUGCUGAUACUCGGAAGGAGUUACUGAUUUAGAGUAGGAAAUCAGCAGAAAUUGUUAUUAGAUUAAGGUGAGAAAGUAGGUCAAGGCCUUAGGUACUUAGAAAUUGCAACUUCUCAGCAAGGAAGACGUGGCAAAGCUGGGCCAUUGCCUAAGUUCUCAGGACCUUGUAUGGCGAUGACUCUCAGUUCACACUUCACCAAUCUGUUGAAUGAACAAGCUGAGAUGAAGGAUGCGUUGUGCCAGGAGAGACUAUUGGUUUAGUGUGACCCACAGUGAACUUGGAGAUGCUGGAAUAUAAAACAAAGCCAUGUUCAGAUCCCAGAUUACUUAACUGCCUUGCUGCCACUAGAAUCAAUGUGUCUGAUUGUUUUCUUGGGAGAAUGAAGAAGGUAUGGCUAAUAAAACACAAGGUAAAUGCCAAAUAACUUGCUACUCAUCAGUAACAUCCAUACACUGCAGAGAAAACUGUUCAAACUAGACUUCUCUAGGAUUCUACAAUCAAUCAUUGCUGACUACCUGUCUUCUCUCUCCUUAGUUAUUAAUAACCUAUGUUCCUUUGGUCUACUCUCUUAGCCAUCCUUCCCUUCCCCUAAGACCCACCUAUUUGAGCAUACUUGCCAAUAAGGACAGUUUUCUCUCAGUA